rnacentral:rRNA from 1 species
UAGCCGACCUGAGAGGGUGAUCGGCCACACUGGGACUGAGACACGGCCCAGACUCCUACGGGAGGCAGCAGUGGGGAAUAUUUGCACAAUGGGCGCAAGCCCUGAUGCAGCGACGCCGCGUGAGGGAUGAAGGCCUUUCGGGUUGUAAACCUCUUUCAGCAGGGAAGAAGCGAAAGUGACGGUACCUGCAGAAGAAGCGCCGGCUAACUACGUGCCAGCAGCCGCGGUAAUACGUAGGGCGCAAGCGUUGUCCGGAAUUAUUGGGCGUAAAGAGCUCGUAGGCGGUUUGUCGCGUCUGCUGUGAAAACCUGAGGCUCAACCUCGGGCUUGCAGUGGGUACGGGCAGACUAGAGUGCGGUAGGGGUGACUGGAAUUCCUGGUGUAGCGGUGGAAUGCGCAGAUAUCAGGAGGAACACCGAUGGCGAAGGCAGGUCACUGGGCCGCAACUGACGCUGAGGAGCGAAAGCAUGGGGAGCGAACAGGAUUAGAUACCCUGGUAGUCCAUGCCGUAAACGUUGGGCACUAGGUGUGGGGCUCAUUCCACGAGUUCCGUGCCGCAGCAAACGCAUUAAGUGCCCCGCCUGGGGAGUACGGCCGCAAGGCUAAAACUCAAAGAAAUUGACGGGGGCCCGCACAAGCGGCGGAGCAUGCGGAUUAAUUCGAUGCAACGCGAAGAACCUUACCAAGGCUUGACAUACACCGGAAAAGUGCAGAGAUGUGCUCCCCGCAAGGUCGGUGUACAGGUGGUGCAUGGUUGUCGUCAGCUCGUGUCGUGAGAUGUUGGGUUAAGUCCCGCAACGAGCGCAACCCUCGUCCUAUGUUGCCAGCACGUCAUGGUGGGGACUCAUAGGAGACUGCCGGGGUCAACUCGGAGGAAGGUGGGGAUGACGUCAAAUCAUCAUGCCCCUUAUGUCUUGGGCUUCACGCAUGCUACAAUGGCCGGUACAAAGGGCUGCGAUACCGCGAGGUGGAGCGAAUCCCAAAAAGCCGGUCUCAGUUCGUAGUGGGGUAUCCAACUCGACCCCACAAGUUGGAGUCUUCUAGUAA